UUACGGCCAUAUCACGUUGAAACACCGGUUCUCGUAGGACCAUCAAAGUUAAGUAACGUCGAGCCUGGUCAGUACCUAGAUGGGUGACCGCUUUGGAAAACAAGGUGUUGUAA